rnacentral:snRNA from 1 species
AGAGAAUUGCUUGAACCCGGGAGGCAGAGGCUGCAGUGAGCUGAGAUCACACCACUGCACUCCAGCCUGGGCUACAGGG